CCUACGGGUGGCAGCAGUCGAGAAUCAUUCACAAUGGGGGAAACCCUGAUGGUGCGACGCCGCGUGGGGGAAUGAAGGUCUUCGGAUUGUAAACCCCUGUCAUGUGGGAGCAAAUUAAAAAGAUAGUACCACAAGAGGAAGAGACGGCUAACUCUGUGCCAGCAGCCGCGGUAAUACAGAGGUCGCAAGCGUUGUUCGGAAUCACUGGGCGUAAGGCGUGCGUAGGCUGUUUCGUAAGUCGUGUGUGAAAGGCGCGGGCUCAACCCGCGGACGGCACAUGAUACUGCGAGACUAGAGUAAUGGAGGGGGAACCGGAAUUCUCGGUGUAGCAGUGAAAUGCGUAGAUAUCGAGAGGAACACUCGUGGCGAAGGCGGGUUCCUGGACAUUAACUGACGCUGAGGCACGAAGGCCAGGGGAGCGAAAGGGAUUAGAUACCCCUGUAGUC
rnacentral:rRNA from 1 species